rnacentral:misc_RNA from 1 species
GUAGGUGAACCUGCGGAAGGAUCAUUAUCGAAAAGCAAUCCGGGGGGGAGGCCACCGAGCGAAGUUUGGUAGAUCGUAGGGAUUGUCGCUGGCCUUUGGAAACGAAGGCAUGUGCACGUUCCGAGUUCUCCUUAGUCCUCCUUUGCCUUUCCUUUGGAAGACCCUUUCUUCACACCCGUGCACACAUUGUAGGUCUCCGCGAGGGGAUCUAUGUCUUCACAAAACUCUACGUAUGUCCAGGAAUGUAUCU